rnacentral:pre_miRNA from 1 species
CAACUACUCCCUCUGUCCCAAAUUUCUUAUCUUAGAUUUGUCUAGAUACGGAUGUAUCUAAUACUAAAAUGUGACUUGAUACAUCCAUAUCUAGACAAAUCUAAGACAUGAAUUUUGGGACGGAGGGAGUACUUU